rnacentral:rRNA from 1 species
GUGGGGAAUAUUGGACAAUGGGCGCAAGCCUGAUCCAGCCAUGCCGCGUGAGUGAUGAAGGCCUUAGGGUUGUAAAGCUCUUUCACCGAUGAAGAUAAUGACGGUAGUCGGAGAAGAAGCCCCGGCUAACUUCGUGCCAGCAGCCGCGGUAAUACGAAGGGGGCUAGCGUUGUUCGGAUUUACUGGGCGUAAAGCGCACGUAGGCGGUUUGUUAAGUCAGGGGUGAAAUCCCGGAGCUCAACUCCGGAACGGCCUUUGAUACUGGCAAGCUAGAGUCCGGAAGAGGUAAGUGGAACUCAUAGUGUAGAGGUGGAAUUCGUAGAGAUUAGGAAGAACACCAGUGGCGAAGGCGGCUUACUGGUCCGGAACUGACGCUGAGGUGCGAAAGCGUGGGGAGCAAACAGGAUUAGAUACCCCUGUAGUCC